rnacentral:lncRNA from 1 species
AUGGUGGAAGUUGAGAUACUGAAGGUUCAUAUCUUGAGAAAACUCCUGUGGGCAAGGAAGCUCACAAAGAGUUUUCCUUCCCAAGGAGCCAAUAUGAUGAACACUCUCAAAGAAGGGCAGAGAAGCACACCAAACUUCAUCACAGUUUCCCUCCUUGUCAUUUCCCAUUUCCCAGGGAGAUGAACUUCCCUAAAAGAGAAUUUCUGUUUAGCUCAAUUUUGGGUAAAAUAAAUGGUCUCUCCAGUUUAGCCUGUGUGAAAAU